CCGUUACCCGCGGAGCAUGUUCUGCCCCGGGACAGUCAAUGAGCUGUGACGAGAGGGCAGCUGGGCUCUGGGGGUCACACAGGCAUCCAUGAAAAUAGUAUGGAUUAUUUUAAACCAUCAAACUGCAGCAUCCUCUAAGCACCGAACAGGCUGUGAGCUGCUGGGACUUCUGAGCAGCCGCCAGUCUCAGCGCUUCUCUGCAAGGACAGGGAGUGCAUGGUUACCAUAGGAACAAGACAGGCAAGAAAAGACUGUGGGAGAGAAUCUGCUUCACAGCUUGGAAAAAUACAUCUAAGUCACGUGUCUAAUAGGAUCUAUAAUAAAGGUGACAAUCUACACCUUAAAUGCACAUUGAUAGUGUUAACUCUGAAAAAGAGAGCAUUGGGAGCACAACACACAAUUACUGCCUUUUCCUUUAAAUGCAUCUGAUACCACUGCAAGGGAAAGUCUAUUCAGCGUCCUAUUACCAGUUGUACAUGGCUCCAAGAGUUUAAAAACCCUCGGAUCUAAAAAUAUGCUAAUUUGUGGUAUUAAAUUUUGUUUGAAGUAUGGUGCAGUAUUUGUUUGAAGUAUGUUAUUUAUGUUUGAAGAGACAGUCAGGUAGUUCUAACAUCCCACCCCCAUGUACAGGCACAUAAACACAUCCACAGAGUUUUUAACCAAAUCUAAUACAAACAGAAAUGUUUAUGAAAUUAAAAUUAUCAAGGAAACCACAUUUGUUCAGAUUUAAAUAUUCUAAGGAAAGGCUUGCAACCCAAACACUGAAGAACAGAUGAAGUCAGGCGAGCCAAAACGUAAAGAUGACUAGUCUAUUUUCGUUGUCCUUACAGUGAAAUGCACAAAAUAAACAAACACCAAUAGCAAAAAAAAAACAAAUUAGGAUUUUCAAGUUUCGUUAAUCCAUGUUGCUGUUGAUAAAAUUGGAUUUUUUUUAGAAUUAUUUUUAACUGAUGUAUUUAAAACAAAAUGAA